UACGAAGGGGGCUAGCGUUGCUCGGAAUCACUGGGCGUAAAGGGUGCGUAGGCGGCCAUCUAAGUCAGACGUGAAAUCCCCCGGCUUAACCUGGGAACUGCGUCUGAUACUGGAAGGCUUGAGUAUGGGAGAGGGAUGUAGAAUUCCAGGUGUAGCGGUGAAAUGCGUAGAUAUCUGGAGGAAUACCGGUGGCGAAGGCGGCAUCCUGGACCAUUACUGACGCUGAGGCGCGAAAGCUAGGGGAGCAAACGGG
rnacentral:rRNA from 1 species